UAGGGAAUCUUCGGCAAUGGGGGCAACCCUGACCGAGCAACGCCGCGUGAGUGAAGAAGGUUUUCGGAACGUAAAGCUCUGUUGUAAGAGAAGAACGUGUGUGAGAGUGGAAAGUUCACACAGUGACGGUAACUUACCAGAAAGGGACGGCUAACUACGUGCCAGCAGCCGCGGUAAUACGUAGGUCACGAGCGUGGUCCGGAUUUAUUGGGCGUAAAGCGAGCGCAGGCGGUUUAAUAAGUCUGAAGUUAAAGGCAGUGGCUUAACCAUUGUUCGCUUUGGAAACUGUUAAACUUUAGUGCAGAAGGGGAGAGGGGAAUUCCAUGUGUAGCGGUGAAAUGCGUAGAUAUAUGGAGGAACACCGGUGGCGAAAGCGGCUCUCUUGUCUGUAACUGACGCUGAGGCUCGAAAGCGUGGGGAGCAAACAGG
rnacentral:rRNA from 1 species